rnacentral:rRNA from 1 species
AUUGAACGCUGGCGGCAGGCUUAACACAUGCAAGUCGAGCGGGGGAAGGUAGCUUGCUACCGGACCUAGCGGCGGACGGGUGAGUAAUGCUUAGGAAUCUGCCUAUUAGUGGGGGACAACAUCUCGAAAGGGGUGCUAAUACCGCACACGUCCUACGGGAGAAAGCAGGGGAUCUUCGGACCUUGCGCUAAUAGAUGAGCCUAAGUCGGAUUAGCUAGUUGGUGGGGUAAAGGCCUACCAAGGCGACGAUCUGUAGUGGGUCUGAGAGGAUGAUCCGCCACACUGGGACUGAGACACGGCCCAGACUCCUACGGGAGGCAGCAGUGGGGAAUAUUGGACAAUGGGGGGAACCCUGAUCCAGCCAUGCCGCGUGUGUGAAGAAGGCCUUAUGGUUGUAAAGCACUUUAAGCGAGGAGGAGGCUACUUUAGUUAAUACCUAGAGAUAGCGGACGUUACUCGCAGAAUAAGCACCGGCUAACUCUGUGCCAGCAGCCGCCGCGG